rnacentral:rRNA from 1 species
AUUGAACGCUGGCGGCAUGCCUAACACAUGCAAGUCGAACGAGUGGCGGACGGGUGAGUAAUGUCUGGGAAACUGCCUAAUGGAGGGGGAUAACUACUGGAAACGGUAGCUAAUACCGCAUACCAUCGGAUGUGCCCAGAGGGGAUUAGCUAGUCGGUGGGGGAACGGCUCACCUAGGCGACGAUCCCUAGCUGGUCUGAGAGGAUGACCAGCCACACUGGAACUGAGACACGGUCCAGACUCCUACGGGAGGCAGCAGUGGGGAAUAUUGCACAAUGGGCGCAAGCCUGAUGCAGCCAUGCCGCGUGUAUGAAGAAGGCCUUCGGGUUGUAAAGUACUGUCAGCGGGGAGGCGGUACCCGCAGAAGAAGCACCGGCUAACUCCGUGCCAGCAGCCGCGGUAAUAC